GACGAACGCUGGCGGCGUGCCUAAUACAUGCAAGUUGAGCGAUGAAGAUUGGUGCUUGCACCCAUUUGAAGAGCAGCGAACGGGUGAGUAACGCGUGGGGCAUCUGCCUUUUAGCGGUGGACAACAUUUGGAAACGAAUGCUAAUACCACAUAACAACUUUAAACAUAAGUUUUAAGUUUGAAAGAUGCAAUUGCAUCACUCAAAGAUGAUCCCGCGUUGUAUUAGCUAGUUGGUGAGGUAAAGGCUCACCAAGGCGAUGAUACAUAGCCGACCUGAGAGGGUGGUCGGCCACAUUGGGAACGAGACACGGCCCAAACUCCUACGGGAGGCAGCAGUAGGGAAUCUUCGGCAAUGGGCGAAAGGCUGACCGAACAACGCCGGGUGAGUGAAGAAGGGUUUCGGAUCGUAAAACUCUGUUGGUAGAGAAGAACGAUGGGGAGAGUAGAAAGCUGAUCAAGUGACGGUAACUACCCAGAAAGGGACGGCUAACUACGUG
rnacentral:rRNA from 1 species